rnacentral:rRNA from 1 species
GAUGAACGCUGGCUACAGGCUUAACACAUGCAAGUCGAGGGGAAACGCCGGGGAAGCUUGCUUCCCCGGGCGUCGACCGGCGCACGGGUGAGUAACGCGUAUCCAACCUGCCUCUGACUGAGGGAUAACCCGUCGAAAGUCGGCCUAAUACCUCAUGGCAUCGUCUGCGGGCAUCCAACGACGAUUAAAGAUUUCAUCGGUCAGAGAUGGGGAUGCGUCUGAUUAGCUUGUUGGCGGGGUAACGGCCCACCAAGGCGACGAUCAGUAGGGGUUCUGAGAGGAAGGUCCCCCACAUUGGAACUGAGACACGGUCCAAACUCCUACGGGAGGCAGCAGUGAGGAAUAUUGGUCAAUGGGCGAGAGCCUGAACCAGCCAAGUAGCGUGCAGGAUGACGGCCCUAUGGGUUGUAAACUGCUUUUAGGCGGGGAUAAAGUGAGGGACGUGUCCUUCAUUGCAGGUACCGAAUGAAUAAGGACCGGCUAAUUCCGUG